UCAAUCUCCUUACUCCAAAACCAUACUCAUGCUAAAAAUUCCUCUCUAAUUUGUAUACAAGUUUUGAGUAUGAGUAAGGUUUUAGAGAACGGAGUAUGAGUUUGAGCACAGAGUAACCUCCAGGCCUGGUCCCCUGGCUCAUCCUUGCAGCGACGCGGAGUACACGAAGCAAAACGGGGACAGGGAACCAGGCUAGGUGUACAAAAACACAUAUGUAUGAUGUUAAUAAAAAAAGAAAGAAACGACGAGAGAACGGUUUGUGUAUACUACGGCCUAAAUGUACGAUCCUCUCCCAUUCUUGGUUCUAUGCCUAUGAGCGGACUCUGAAUGGUAACCGUGGCUUGAGACGAUGAUCAUGAUGUUCAAGUUGAUGUUUCUGACGAAGACGAUUAACUGUGGUACCCGUAUUAUUUUUGAAGACGUUUUAAGACUCAGGGGUAUGUCAUCGAUUUGAAAGAACGAUCUUUUCUGAAGAAUGUCUAAGAUAUAUUGGCAUCUCAUUCUGGAGUUUAACUUAAUUAACAUAAAAAGUUUUUAAGUGCAUGUUUGUAAACAUGUAAAUGAAGUAGAAAACACACCAAGAACCAGGAAUGCCAGGACCUAAGCUAAAACUUUCUGAUUGACCAUGUUGACAUCAACACUGAACAUUUGGAACAGAAAACAAUCUACAGAGAUACAUGUACUGAAGAAAUACCUGCUGUUGAAAAAAAACCCUAGCUAAGACAUGUUUGUUUUUAUUUACAAACAACAUGAUCAGGUAGAAACAACAAUAUAACUCAAAUUGCUGCAUCUGUUGGAGCACCCAUCUUUAGCAGAAAUUUUACUUGAAUUUACAGCAUUUCCAUCAAGGCAUCAAAGCAUGAAUUGAUCGUUGUAACUUACAUGUAACAUCCCUUGCAAGAUUAUUUAACCCUUAUGAGAAAUCACAAAAUGCAGUGAAUGACUUGAAAUUUAGACCUUUGCUCAACACUAAGGCCCAGUGAGGAGUGAAGGUUCUUUAGCGUGCCAAUGCCUGCUCUUACAUGGGACCUCAACUUUUACUCUCUCAUCCAAGAC